GAGCCGCGCCCUAGGGCUGAGCCCCGGGGCGGGCUGGUGAGCGGGGACAGCACAGCGUCGUUAGAGAUGGAAGGCACCUCCGGAGACCAUCUCGUCCAGCCCCCAAUGCCAAGGCAGAGUCACCUAAAGCAGGUGACACAGGGUGGGUUUUGAAUGUUGCCAGAGAGGGAGACUCCACGACCUCCUUGGACAGCGUGUUCCAGUGCUCUGCCACCCUCAGAGAAAAGAAGUUCUUUUCUUCUUCGUGUUGAAGUGAAACUUCUUGUAUUUUAGUUUAUGCCCAUUGCUCCUCAUCCUGUCACUGGGAACCACUGAAAAGAGCCUGGCACCAUCCUCUUGGCACCUGCCUUUGAGAUACUUAUACGCAUUAAUGAGAUCCCCUUCAGUCUUCUCUGAGGCCCAGAGUCUCUCCUCAUAAGAGAGGUGUUCCAGACCUCUAAUAACCUUUGUGUCCCUCCGGUGGACCACCUCCUGGAGCUCCUUGUCUUUCUUGUACUGCAAGGCUUUACAGGAAAAGAGAAUUCCAUGGAGGAAUCUGAAGGAGGAUAGAGAGAUGGCUGCGCAGAUAUUUAUGGGAAGCUCUUCCCACACUCCAAGGUGUGCUGGUUUGGAACGGCCGUUCAUCUGCAAGAGUCAGCAUCUGUCUUACACUUACAAGGGUUCUCUGUCUGCCUCGUCUGUGUCCAGUGGCAAGGAAUCUUACCAACAACUUGAACUUUGUAUCAGGCCUCAAGGAGUACCUCCGGAUUUACUGAGCCCAACAAGUUUAGAAAUACGUGGUUACUUAUUCAUUAAAUGGGAUUUUGCAUUGUGUGUUGGCAUAAAGCCAUUUUUUUUGUUUUAACUAAAUUAUUUUCCCCCUAUCAUGCGUGCGUCACUGUAUGAGCCAAAGGUUUCGCCAGAGUUUCUUUCUACUCACAGAGGAAGAGACCUUUCCUGAUGGCUCCUAGCGAUGGUGCUGGAACCAACUGUACCUGAGGAGCAAAGUCUGAUGUUCUACAGGUAACCCCACAAGGCCGGCGGCAAGGAUUUCUGUGGCCCCGCUGCCCUCUGGAAGCGACCCCACGCUGACCACGGCGAGGAGCACUUCGGAGCCCUUCCUCCAGGCGACCCCACACCGCCCAAACUUCAGGGCAGGGGAAGCUCCGUGGCCUCGCCUCAGCCCAUUGGCGGGCGGCAGGAGGAGCCCGAGCCCCGAUCUGGCGGAGGACCGUGGA